AUGCUUUUUUUUUUUUUUUGUACGGCGUACGGUUAGAAUGUCGUUAAUCGGGUUAGUAAUUAAUAUGUUAGUAUCACUAAGUUAGUAUUAAAAUCCCCCUUACCUGGAUUUGAACCCAGGAUCUCCAAGAGAAGCAAAGUUUCUCACCUCCCACUUAACUACUAGACUAAGAGAUCAUUGGUAGUUGACUUUUAGUUCACCAGCUAUUUUUGCGUAUGGGAGCCUAACUUGCCAAAGUACGGACACAGCACUUUGUAGAAAAGUAAGCACAUAACACUCUGUAAAGCAAAGUAGACACUCGAUUAGUCAUUAUGAUUGAACUUGCUUGUUUCUUAAUAUUUUGUGCAUGUGACAAUUUUAUUUUAAUUGACUUUUUUUUAAGUAAAAUAUAAUAGAUGGAGCCCUAGAAUUGUUCUUGCCAAAUUCACGAAUUUAAAUGAUGUUUUGCAGGUUUUGAGUAGACUGACUGAAGGAAGUGAGGGGUGUCGUUUGAGUAAUUGAGGGUAAUUUUAUGAGGUGUUGUGACUGAAUUCGUUAAAAUUAUUCAUGGUUGCUUUAUGUAUUUUAACUAGUUGAUGCCCUGUCUGCGUUACGGGGUGAUGGACGAAUAAUUCUCAAUCAAUUAAAAAAAAAUGUUAGGAAAAAAACCAAAAAUGAUGAUAAGGCCGUAAUUUUGGGCUCAGUGCAAAACUGUAAUUUUUCAGGACUAAUGAGCUAGUGUUAGGCAGCUCCUUAACACGAAAAAAAAAUUAAAUCGAGUAAACAAAUUAAAACAAAAGACCUUUAUAGUUUUGCUAAAAAAACUAAAACGAUAGGAAAAAUGUAAUUUUUAACUGAGUGCGAAAUCAUAAUUUUAAUUCAGGGAUAAAAUCGUAAAUUAAAUAGACCAAUGGGGGAGUGCCAGCAGUGGCGGAGCUUGACCAAAAGUUUCAAGGGGGCGUAAAGUGAUGAGACCCAAAUUUUUUUCCUAUCGUUAUGUUUCAGGUCGGGUCGGCCUCGGGCCAAGUCAAAUAAUAAUAGUUCGAAAUAAAACUAAAAAAAUUCAUUCAUUCAAAUGACCCGUUCUUAGAUAUAAAAAUUUGUGAUUAAGUUUAUUGUGUGGUGGGUAACCUAGGGUUAAACAAAUAAGAGUUAAAAUAUAUUUACAAAACUACCCAUCAUUUAUAUACAAAGUGACGAAAAAUCGGAACCUAUACACUUCUAACCGAAAUAUUAGGGUGGGCGGGUGCACCCCCGGGCACCAACAAACCUUCGCCCCUGAGUCCAGAAAGCUGUCGGCAUGACUGUAAUUUUACACUGGGGCAAAAUUGUAAUUUCACCACGAAAACAAACAAAAACGAUGGACAAAAUGUAAAUUUAAGUUGAGAACAAAAUCGUAACUUGGCUGUGAGAAAAAAUCUAAUGGCAAAACUAUAAAUUUAUACGGGGCAAAAUCGUAAUUUUGAACUGAGGGAAAAAUUGGAAUUUUUAGCUGGGAGCAAAAGCAUAAAUUUAUUUUUGAAUGGGGGUAAAAACGUAAUUUUGAACUGAUGGCAAAAUCGUAUUUUUAAGGGAAAAAAACUAAUGGCAAAACUGUAAAUUGAAACGGGGCAAAAUCGUAAUUUUGAACUGGGGGCAAAAUUGAAAUAUUUAGCUGGGAGCAAAAGCGUAAAUUUAUUUUUAAGUGGGGGUAAAAACAUAAUUUUAAACUGAUGGCAAAAUCGUAAUUUUAAAGCGGAAUAAAAUCGUAAAUUUGUUGGACCAAUAGGGGAGUGCCAGACAUGUCUGGCACUAUUCCCUCUGCCGCCCAUUUAACCCAAUAGACGGCAAUCACUAUUGCCCCAUGGGCUUUGUAGAUAUUGAAUGGUGAUAAAUAUAGAUUAAAUUGGAAUUGAAUUUUGGUAAUAAUGAGCAUCACAAAACAAUUAAAGUACAUACCAAUCAUCCCACUUCAAUGUCGUGACGUUUAGGGUCAUCGUAAGGUUCAGGUGUCAUUUUAACGAAAGAAACGGAUCGAAGGUGAGUGGAUGGUCGCGUUACUUGGCUGUUGUGUGGAGAAGAUGACCAAAUUCACACUGUCGUAACAGUUUAAGUUUUAAUCAAAUCCAACAUCAACACAACCAGCGUUGUAGAUCAGCUGGUUGUGUUGCGUGAUGUUAGUGUUUCGGCCGGUUGAAGUAGCCGGUUCGAAUCCCGGCGCCGCCCUAUCUUGUAGAGUAAUUUUGAUCUUGUAUGGUAGUUAUUAAAAUUACUCUACAAGUGUAUCAAAAUUACUCUGCAAGUUUAUCAAACAACAUACAAUUAUCUUGUAUUGUAAUUAUUAAAAAUACUCUACAAGUGUAUCAAAAUUACUCUGCA
rnacentral:lncRNA from 1 species